rnacentral:misc_RNA from 1 species
GAUGAAGAACGUAGCGAAAUGCGAUAAGUAAUGUGAAUUGCAGAAUUCAGUGAAUCAUCGAAUCUUUGAACGCACAUUGCGCCCAUUAGUAUUCUAGUGGGCAUGCCUGUUCGAGCGUCAUUUCAACCCUUAAGCCUAGCUUAGUAUUGGGAAUCGACUUUACUGUCGUUCCUCAAAUUCAACGGCGGAUUUAUAGCAAUCUCUGAACGUAGUAAUUUUUUUCCUCGUUUUUGAAAUACUAUAAACCUCAGCCGCUAAACCCCCAAUUUUUCUAUGGUUGACCUCGGAUCAGGUAGGAAUACCCGCUGAACUUAAGCAUAUCAUAAGCGGAGGA